UACGAAGGGGGCGAGCGUUGUUCGGAAUUACUGGGCGUAAAGGGCGCGCAGGCGGCUCUGAAAGUCAGAUGUGAAAGCCCCGGGCUUAACCUGGGAAUUGCAUUUGAUACUCUGGAGCUUGAGUACGGGAGAGGAGAGUGGAAUUCCCAGUGUAGAGGUGAAAUUCGUAGAUAUUGGGAAGAACACCGGUGGCGAAGGCGGCUCUCUGGACAGUAACUGACGAUGAGGCGCGAAAGCGUGGGGAGCAAACAGG
rnacentral:rRNA from 1 species